UCUCCGUUGGUGAACCAGCGGAGGGAUCAUUACCGAGUUUACAACUCCCAAACCCCUGUGAACAUACCAUUUGUUGCCUCGGCGGUGCCUGCUUCGGCAGCCCGCCAGAGGACCCAAACCCUUGAUUUUAUACAGUAUCUCCUGAGUAAAUGAUUAAAUAAAUCAAAACUUUCAACAACGGAUCUCUGGGUUCUG
rnacentral:misc_RNA from 1 species